GCCUAACUGGUUCAGUUGGCAGGGCAUGUGACUCUUGAUCUUGGGGUUGUGAGUUUGAGCCUCAUGUUGGGUG
rnacentral:tRNA from 1 species